rnacentral:pre_miRNA from 1 species
AGUAAAAUUGUUUAGUUAUAUGAUAACUCUGUUUAAUAUAUUGAGAAAUUGCCAAACUGUUUUCCAUGGUGGCUGUUGUAUUUUACAUUCUCAUCAGCAGU